GUGCCAGUAGUGCAACGGGUUAGAGCACGUUGUCCCGGAUAGACUGGGAUGUGGGUUUCGAGUCCCACCUGGCGCG